rnacentral:tRNA from 2 species
GCGCCUGUGGUUCAGUGGAUAGAACGUCGGCCUCCGGAGCCGAAAGUCGCAGGUUCGAAUCCUGCCAGGCGCACCA